rnacentral:SRP_RNA from 1 species
GGAGGCCCUGUCGGUUCUCCCGCAACACUAGCUCGUGAACCCGGUCAGGUCCGGAAGGAAGCAGCCGCAGCGAGUGAUGUGUGUGCCGGGAUGUAGCUGGCAGGGUCUCCACCACUU